rnacentral:lncRNA from 1 species
CGACACUUCGUGGUGCGAUUCAAUGCGGCCACGCUCGAGGUCCGGGACCUCAACGAGGACAUGGCUGUCUCAGCCAUGAAGCGGGGCUUGAGAGCGUCCCGAUUCACUUAUUCUCUGGACAAGACCCUCCCCCGAACUUAUGCCGAGCUACUGGAGCGCGCAUACAAGUAUAUGCGCGCGGACGAAGGAGCGUCCGACCGACGCUUGGCCGAGCCCAGAGGCCCGAAGGAGAAGCGGAGGAAGGGUCGGGAGCCCGUCGAACCCAGCAGGCCCCCGACCAAUAGUCGGAUCUCUCCACCCCGACGGAUCCAAAAAUCACCCCGGCAGCAGACUCCGAGGCCGG